rnacentral:rRNA from 2 species
CGAACGCUGGCGGCGUGCCUAAUACAUGCAAGUCGAACGAACUCUGGUAUUGAUUGGUGCUUGCAUCAUGAUUUACAUUUGAGUGAGUGGCGAACUGGUGAGUAACACGUGGGAAACCUGCCCAGAAGCGGGGGAUAACACCUGGAAACAGAUGCUAAUACCGCAUAACAACUUGGACCGCAUGGUCCGAGCUUGAAAGAUGGCUUCGGCUAUCACUUUUGGAUGGUCCCGCGGCGUAUUAGCUAGAUGGUGGGGUAACGGCUCACCAUGGCAAUGAUACGUAGCCGACCUGAGAGGGUAAUCGGCCACAUUGGGACUGAGACACGGCCCAAACUCCUACGGGAGGCAGCAGUAGGGAAUCUUCCACAAUGGACGAAAGUCUGAUGGAGCAACGCCGCGUGAGUGAAGAAGGGUUUCGGCUCGUAAAACUCUGUUGUUAAAGAAGAACAUAUCUGAGAGUAACUGUUCAGGUAUUGACGGUAUUUAACCAGAAAGCCACGGCUAACUACGUGCCAGCAGCCGCGGUAAUACGUAGGUGGCAAGCGUUGUCCGGAUUUAUUGGGCGUAAAGCGAGCGCAGGCGGUUUUUUAAGUCUGAUGUGAAAGCCUUCGGCUCAACCGAAGAAGUGCAUCGGAAACUGGGAAACUUGAGUGCAGAAGAGGACAGUGGAACUCCAUGUGUAGCGGUGAAAUGCGUAGAUAUAUGGAAGAACACCAGUGGCGAAGGCGGCUGUCUGGUCUGUAACUGACGCUGAGGCUCGAAAGUAUGGGUAGCAAACAGGAUUAGAUACCCUGGUAGUCCAUACCGUAAACGAUGAAUGCUAAGUGUUGGAGGGUUUCCGCCCUUCAGUGCUGCAGCUAACGCAUUAAGCAUUCCGCCUGGGGAGUACGGCCGCAAGGCUGAAACUCAAAGGAAUUGACGGGGGCCCGCACAAGCGGUGGAGCAUGUGGUUUAAUUCGAAGCUACGCGAAGAACCUUACCAGGUCUUGACAUACUAUGCAAAUCUAAGAGAUUAGACGUUCCCUUCGGGGACAUGGAUACAGGUGGUGCAUGGUUGUCGUCAGCUCGUGUCGUGAGAUGUUGGGUUAAGUCCCGCAACGAGCGCAACCCUUAUUAUCAGUUGCCAGCAUUAAGUUGGGCACUCUGGUGAGACUGCCGGUGACAAACCGGAGGAAGGUGGGGAUGACGUCAAAUCAUCAUGCCCCUUAUGACCUGGGCUACACACGUGCUACAAUGGAUGGUACAACGAGUUGCGAACUCGCGAGAGUAAGCUAAUCUCUUAAAGCCAUUCUCAGUUCGGAUUGUAGGCUGCAACUCGCCUACAUGAAGUCGGAAUCGCUAGUAAUCGCGGAUCAGCAUGCCGCGGUGAAUACGUUCCCGGGCCUUGUACACACCGCCCGUCACACCAUGAGAGUUUGUAACACCCAAAGUCGGUGGGGUAACCUUUUAGGAACCAGCCGCCUAAGGUGGGACAGAUGAUUAGGGUGAAGUC